CCGGUGGCCUAGUGGUUAGAGCGUCCGCUUUGGAUGCGGGAGGUCGUGGGUCGAGCCAUACUAAAAAGA